GAAAUUUACGAUAAAUACCCUUAAAAAGGGUGAGCAACAAGUGUAGCUGGUGCUUUGUAAAGAAUGUUUGAACACUGGCUAACGUCAGGUGAAACCAAUCAAAGGCAGUUAUAAAUUAAAAUUGAAUAAAAAUAGAAACAUAGCUAAAGAUAGAACAGAACUUAAAAGUUAUAAGCCAAUAUCAAGAAACAAUUUUAUGUCAAUGGCAAUUUUUUAAAAUAAAUCACCAAUAUUGACACAAGGAAAAACCAAAACCUAAUAUAAGCCCUAGAUUAAUUCUCAAAACUACUCACAAAAUGUACCGAGGACAAAUGACUUUACUGGUGAUUUUGCCAAACCUUCACAAAUCAGAUAACUCCUAUCACGUACAAAUUAUUUCAGAAAAUUAAAGGAGCAGGAAAACAUCUCAGCAUUUAGGAGGCUAGGAUGGUCUAGCUCUAAACUAGACAAGGACAGUAUGUGCAAGAAAAGUAAAGGCCAGUUUCAGUAAACACCAUAGACCUAAACAUCUUAAACAAGGUUAGCAAACCAAAUUCAAUUAUAAAUAAAUAUAUAUGCUAAAUAAAAUCUAUAUUUGAUAAGCUUUGAAUCUCUGUCCCUGCUCCAAUGUCAUGUGAAAUUGUAAUCCCCAGUAUUGGAGGUGAGGCCCAGCGGGAGUCGACUGGAUCAUGGGGGCUGAUUUCUCCCUUGGAACUGUGUCAAGAUGGGCAUUGGACACUAAGAGACGCCCAGGUGGAUUACCUGAGGGUGGCAUCACUUAGCAGGAGUGCUGCAUGGACCUUAUGGCAGUCAGGGUGACAUGGACUUCAUGAAUUAGCUACUGCUGUGCCUGAUGAUUUUCUAGCACAAGUAGCCCCAAGUGAUCUGCAACAGCCAUCGCUUCACAUUGAGAAGGAUUCUUUUUAUUUUCCUUGUCAGCAGCAUCCCCCUGUCUCGGUAAGAGCCCCUAGAUUCAUAAUUAAGAUUGGUGACAGAGCUAAAAUUCUGGAGAUGGGAAAUAUAAAUUCCGCUAGUGGGGAACUGGAGUGGUGGAGAGUGGGGCCACUUCUAAUCUUCUCCUUGUUUUUCAGACACAGCAAUUGUACCUUUGAGGACAUGACACC
rnacentral:lncRNA from 1 species